UGGAGAUGCUGCGGUUGGUGGUCCUCUGGUCAAAACUGCCCCCAAGAGCCAAAGGUGUUUGUGGUCCUCAGUGCUCAGCUGGAAGCAGACCAAGCUCUUCCCACAGGUUAGAACCAGCCAUCACCUGGAGGGCAUCACACAAUCAUUUAGGCUGGAGAAGACCCUCGAGAUCAUCAAACCCAACCGAGAUCAUCAAACCCAACCGACAAAGGAAUCUCAGUCCACAGCAGCCUUUAUCCACCUCUGAACUUCAACAGCCCAGAUCCUUCACAUCCUUCUGCAAAUCACUGCUCAUUCUGGAGUGUGACAAAAUACCCACCUUACGCACAGCCUGUACCGAUAUCUAUAAAUCCAGCAUUUAAUAGCUUGACACACUGAUAAAAUAUCACAUUAUUUAUUCCAACCUUAUAAUCAGAAAGUCAGAGUUACAGUAAAUGGAAUCUUUUCUAUCCUCUGUUUUAAAAGGUCUAAUUAUUUUAUUACUCAAUGUAUGUACAUGCAGAUAAGUAAUAAUUAUUCUGAGUAUUAUCCUGCAUAAUAGAGCUAGUUAAUGCUCAGAGAUAAUAGCACAGAGACAGCUCAUUAUACCAAUUUGUACAAAAAUAACAGAAUUAUUUUUUCUUCUGAACAAACUUAGUCUGCUUUGAUAAUAACAAGUUUCAUCACUUCUUUAUUUGCUGAGAGAUUAAACUCUGUGCAUCAUAGUGAUUAUUAUUUCAAUGAUGAAUCACCAUGUGCUGGAUUUAUACCGGAUUCAAAGAGGAAUUUGAAGGCAGAUUCAUGUAAGGCAACACUAAAAGAAGGAUGAUCCUGAAAUUAUUGCACAUUUGUUUAUAAACAGCCUUUUUACAGGAAAUGUCAUUUUUUGAGUCCGUGCUGCUCACAGCUGAGAAAACUCAGAUGAGGGUGGAGAGGAGGAAACGGGGAUGUUUUCCAGUAUCUCAGAAUUUUUAAAUACUGCCAGCAGUGGUGACUCCACCACUUCCCUGGGCAGCCCGUUCCAAGGCUUAAGAACCUUUUCUUUGUAAAAAUUGUUCCUAAUCUCCAGUCUGAACCUCCCCUGGAGCAACUUGAGGCCAUUUCCUCUUGUCCCAUCACCUGUUCUUUGGGAGAAGGGACCGACCCCCCCCCGGCUACACCCUCCUUUCAGGGAGUUGGAGAGAGCGAGAAGGUCUCCCCUCAGCCUCCUUUUCUCCAGGCUGAACACCCCCAGCUCCCUCAGCCUCUCCCCAUAAGACUUAUUCUCCAGACCCCUCACCAGCUCCAUUGCCCUUCUCUGGACCCGCUCCAGCACCUCAAUAUCUUUAUUGUCGUGAAGGAAAAUGGCUACUGCAGAAGACAAUAUUAAAAUGUUGUAGUGGGGAGGGUUGGUGGCACUUCAAGCUUCACCUUUUCAUCUGCUGCUCAUUAUUUUCCAGACUUGCAUUUCUAUAUAUCACAUGCCAAACGCUCUUUCCUUCUCUAACCUGGGCCAGCCUGGCCAGACCUUUGUUCUUGGCCUGUGGUUGAUCUUGCUUCAUUUUCUGUCUCAAGAGCGUGACCUUCUGCUCUUGCAAUGGUCCUGAGGAACGGCAGUGGGUGUUAUCCAUUUCUCAAUGGCAGUGAUUUUAAGGUGGGGGUUGUUUAUUGUUUGCUUGGCGGGUGUUUCAGGACACCUCAGGAGUAACUGAACCAUGUCAGAUAAUGAAGAGAAACCAAUUCAUCUCCUGCUCUCUUGCAAAUCCCAGACACUGGGUUAAUCACGCAAAUGAUUAGGAACUCCAAGCAGACUGGUGGAAGAUUUUAAUUCUGUUUGUUGAGAGCUGUAAACAUAAUUGAUUUACAUUUUUUCUCCAAUAAGUUAAUUUGAGAGAGUGUUCCCAUUGUGAAUAAUAUCAGAUCCAAGGCUAUAUGGCUUACAAAUAUCCCUGACUCCACUGGAGAAAGUACAGAUCACUCCUUGCUGCAGAAAGAUGAAAAGGAUGAAGGCUGAUGACUGGUAAAUGUUGGCUUCCUGUAAACAGAAAUUACCAAAUCUGACAAAUGCUAUACAUUAGCAGUGUAACACAAGAAGCAACACGCUCUCCAUUAUCCCUGAUAAGUUAAUGGAUCAGUGCUGAAAUUAAAAAAUAAAAAAUAAAAAAUUAAAGAAAAUCUUCUUUGG
rnacentral:lncRNA from 1 species